GUCCUGGGAUAUCUGUUCUGGAUUCCUGAACUAUAGCCCUUUAACUUAAAGACCCCGGGAGCGGGGAGACCCUCACUCAAGUCUCGGGAUGAUGCGACUCCCCAAGAACUCACGUGAGACC
rnacentral:pre_miRNA from 14 species